rnacentral:misc_RNA from 1 species
GGAAUUGCAGGGGAGGUAGACCAUAGGCUCUGUUCAUUUUUUUAUUAUCAGAACCAAACUGAGAACUAAAAUUGUGAAGAUAAAAGCUUCUUGAACUUCUGGUUAUAGACACGCACACGCACACACACGACUCCACUUAACUAAGCAUUAGUCUGAAACUAGUUGGGGUUGGUUAUUUGCAUCCUGUUCUUUUACAUAUUAUAGGAAAAGGAGAA